CAUGUCAGUGUACGUCACUGUUUGGCGUAACUGAUUGCGUCACUGCAAGUGGGAAGGUCCCUGUCGCAAUCGCUGGGGCGCCCGUGGAAAGAGCAGCGGCCUUGUCCAGAGUUGGGAGGACACCACGGCCAGUUCUGCAGCGUUCAGGAAGUCUCUCCAAAGACUGGGACCAGAAGGGGCUGAGUGCACGGCUAAUGUGGAAGACCGCUGAAUGACACUCGUUCACUAGCAGCAGCGUGUGACGGACCUGGCCUAAUUCCCCAGACUGUUUCCUCAUUUUAUAAAUGAGGAUAACUACCCAUUCUGCCUACGUUGGAGAAUUGUGCGGCUAAAAGAAAAUAAUGUAUGCAAAGGUGUUUUUAAAGUAUAAGGCUCACUGGACUUUAAAACAUCUUUUUUAUAAGAGAAAACAGUCGGGCAAGAGCAGUUAAGAGCCUGGACUUUGGAGUCAGGGAAACCUAGGUACAAAUCUGAUCCUGCUUGUUGGACAGUCAAUUCUGCUUGAUCUGUGGGCAAACUGGAGGUCCGGGGUGUGGGGAUUUGGAGACAAUAACUGGAAAGCAUGCUUAAUUCCAGACAAAGUUUCGUGAGUAAAGAUGGAGCCAAGGAAUGCUGGUGGCCUCUAGAAGCUGGAAAAGGCAGGGAAACAGAUUCUCCCCUCAAGCCCUGCCAACGCCUUGAUUGUAGGAUCUCUUAUCUCCAGAACUCUUAUGUCCAGACACUAUGGAUAUGGAUAUGACACAAUCGCUCAAAAAACUCAGUUUAGGAAGGAAGUUAAAUAUUCCAAAUGAUCAUUCUCCAGCAGGACAUUCAAAUGCCUAAAGCCUGGGCAAAUGCUUUACACUCAGCCAGCAGACUUUUACCAAGUGUGGUGUGAGCAUCUGGGAUUGCCAGAUUUGAAAUCUAUUGACCUCUAAAUAUCGGGAGGCAGACAGGUAAAGUAAGCGUGGCAAGCAUGAGUGGGAAGCCUCAACCCCCGGAUUCUCCAAUCAAACGCUUUUCUCACAGCCUCUGCCAGUAUACUCUUCCUGUUGGCCACACUAUGAAGAAUUAACUUUCCUGUAUCUAAUCUAAAUCACAUUUUUUGCUGUAAAUCAACUAAAAUGGAAAAAAUAAAAAUCAUAAAAUAAUAAAAUAAAAUCAGUAUAAGCAAAUAAAUAAAUAUAAAUCACAAUUUUUGCUAUAAA